AGUCGAGGGGUAUGGUAGCAAUACCAGAGACCGGCGCACGGGUGCGUAACGCGUAUGCAAUCUACCUUUUACAGAGGGAUAGCCCAGAGAAAUUUGGAUUAAUACCUCAUAGUAUUACGACCCGGCAUCGGGAUGUAAUUAAAGUCACAACGGUAAAAGAUGAGCAUGCGUCCCAUUAGCUAGAUGGUAAGGUAACGGCUUACCAUGGCAACGAUGGGUAGGGGUCCUGAGAGGGAGAUCCCCCACACUGGUACUGAGACACGGACCAGACUCCUACGGGAGGCAGCAGUGAGGAAUAUUGGACAAUGGGCGCAAGCCUGAUCCAGCCAUGCCGCGUGCAGGAUGACGGUCCUAUGGAUUGUAAACUGCU
rnacentral:rRNA from 1 species